rnacentral:tRNA from 1 species
CAGGAAAUAGUUUAAUUAAAAUAUAAAUUUUGGAGAUUUAAGAUAGAUAAUAUUUUUUCCUGA